GGUUUGAUUUUGCAUUGCUUCGACUGCAAACCAAAGGCUUAGAAAAGUAUGCAUUACUCUGCCUUUAAAGGGUAUUUGCAAACCAAAGCCAAAACCCGAAAAAGGUAAAAAAAUGUGCCACAAAGUAGAAGGAGUAGUGCCAAACGGAGGAGUAGCAGGAAGAAGGAAACGAAGACAGCAGUUAUCAGAAGGGAAACAGAGUGAAGGAUGUGUAAGGAUGGUUGGAUGGAUGGUAGAAUUCCUGUGGCCUGUUCCCUGGUUCUUCUGCCAGGUUGAAAUAACAUGAAAUUUUUAGAAAACCAACGACAAAACGUCGAAUGAAAGAUAAAUAAAGGCCCUGUCACACAGAGAGGGACAGGGACUAUGUCCCAGAAAGAAAGCAGCAAAAGCGAUGGCCAAAAAGAUGGAAAUAAAAU
rnacentral:lncRNA from 1 species